GUGCAACGAAACUACACCGUACGUCUCCUUAUUGUACCGGGCUUCCUUUUGACUCUUGCCUCUCUCGCAGAACCCCCAAACCCUAAUCCCUAGUUUUCUCAUCAGUCGCGAAUCUCGUUGUCCUCUGCGCCACCUUCCAUCCUCUGCAAGAAGAAUGAGUCGCUCAAGUAGAACUCUUUACGUUGGUAACCUUCCUGGUGACAUUCGCGAGCGUGAAGUGGAAGAUUUGUUUUACAAGUAUGGACGAAUAGCGCAUAUUGAUUUGAAAGUUCCGCCUAGGCCUCCAGGUUAUGCUUUUGUGGAGUUCGAGGAGGCCCGUGAUGCAGAGGAUGCUAUCCGUGGUCGUGAUGGUUAUGAUUUUGAUGGACAUCGUUUGCGGGUGGAACUGGCGCAUGGGGGGCGUGGUCAUUCAUCAUCAACUGAUCGUUAUAGUAACCACAGCAGUGGCCGAGGGCCCCGUGGUGGAGUUUCCAGGCGAUCUGACUACAGAGUGCUAGUCACUGGAUUGCCGCCUUCUGCUUCCUGGCAGGAUCUUAAGGAUCACAUGCGUCGAGCUGGGGAUGUCUGUUUCUCCCAAGUUUUCCGGGAAGGGAGUGGCACUACAGGAAUUGUGGAUUAUACAAAUUAUGAUGAUAUGAAAUAUUCUAUCAGGAAGCUUGAUGAGUCUGAAUUCCGGAAUUCCUUUUCUCGUGCAACAAUACGUGUGAAGGAAUAUGAUUCUAGCCGCUCUAGGAGCCGCAGCCGCAGCCGUUCUUACUCGAGAGGAAAGAGUGGUAGCCGCAGCCCGAGUAACAGUCGGAGUAGGAGCAUGAGCAAGUCUCCUAAAGCUAAAUCUUCUGGCCGUUCAAGAUCCCGCUCGAGGUCUGCAUCUUCACGGUCUCCCUCUAAGUCUAGAGCAAAAUCUCUUUCAAGAUAUGGAUAUAUGCAGCGAUCUGGGGAUUGCAUAAUAUGAUCUUGAUGGGAUAUGGUUCAGUUGCCUACAACUCUUUUGGUUGUGGAGAUAUGGGAACAAGAAGAUCAUGGAUUUUGAUGGUGAAGCGGGACUAUGAACUAAUUGGCAUAUGAAUUUUGGGACCGCCAUCUAUGUGUGGUAGAAACGUUUUAACUGUCUCCAAAGCUUCUGUGCUAAUUAAAGCAUACUCUCUGACUUCCAUAGUAUGAUUCUGGUUAUUCGUGUUUUUAAGGAGCUUUGUUGGCUUUUUGAAGGUUCUUAUCCUAACUUAAUUGGGCCAUUUAUUUAGGUUGAAUAUGAUGCUUUUCCCUUGUGUACUGCUAAAUGUUUGUGAAUAUCCUCUUUUCUAUUUUGAUUGUGGUAAACUCUGACGUGGAAUGGCAUACAAGGCUCUUGGAUCAGAGUUGUUAAGAGGAACAUGUGGAUAUUAAAUUGGGUUGUUUCUGGAACUUUUGCAGAUCUCCAUCAAGAUCCAGAUCCCCCUCACCAUCUCGCCAGAAACGUGCUAACAAAAGCCCAAAAAGGGGCAGCCCAAGUAAGAGUGAAAGCAGGAGUAGGAGCCGUACUCGUAGUAGGAGCAAAAGUCCAUCAAGGUGAGCUAUGGUAUUCGCUGGUUUCUGCUGCGCCCUAGAUCUGCAGAUAAGGUGCUCUCUGCUGGAUUAGAUGCGUAUUAGGAUCUGCAGUUGGUUGUCAAUCGUGGUUAACAGAGUUAUUGAUGUAUGAGGAACCAUUUUAUUUUGUGUUUUCUUGUAUGGGCAUGUUGCGGGACAUUUGAUCGCGAGAAUGGUGGAAUGUUGAAUUUGGCAUUUUGUCCAGAUGUAAUCAUGAAUUAAUAUUUCGUGGAGGGCCUGCAGAUGGCUUGGUCCUCGAUUAACUAUAACAUUUCCUUGUGGCGCUACAGAUUCUCCGA